CUUCCUGGUAUUGUGAUGCAAUAAUUUCCAUGGUAUUUAGAAAUGUUCUAUUAAUUGAUGACGGAUUUCCAUAGUAAUGUGGGAUGUUCAUUCAAAUAAUGCUAACUGACGUGGCUCACGCAAAGUAUUUUUUGUAAUGUCAGUAUGUCCAUUUUAUGUAACAUCAAUAAUGCUUCUUAUUUGCUUUAUUUCUCCAACAUGUCAAUAUUUACAAGAGGAACUAUAGGCAGACAAAAGUUACAUUUAUAUUUUGUUUGUUCAUUCUGUGAGACAUUUAAGUUGUGAUUUUGCAUGCAAAUUUAACAUCCAUAAUCGCUGGAAUCUCCCACUAUUGAGUUUUGUUGUGGUAUUGCCAGGACAUGUGUAGUCACACACACUUUCAUGCCCCAGCACUUACCAGGACUCCGGCGACGAUAGAUGCAAGGGUAUUUCUCCUCUCCCCCCAGUCGAUGCACUCACACUCCGGCAUGCGGAAGUUGUCCAGGAACCCAGCCAUCUUCAGCCCUUCUGACCCCUGUGGUCAAACCUUACUGUUGUCUCAGUCAAUCUCUAAUGUUCCUUAGACAGGUAGGUAGGUAGGUAGGUAGGUGGGCCCACUGACUGUUGACACUGCCACAGAUGAACGUUAAGCAGUAAUCUGCAUUGCUGGUUCUGUACACUUGACCCUCUGGGAUUGGUUUGACAAUCAAUCGAGUUUGUUUCCUACAAAAACAAGGAGGUAGGGUUAUUGAUUCUGUAUCAAACUCCAAUAUUCACAUCAAGCCCCUAACGUUACACUUGAUCGAGCCUGCAGGUACGUGGUGCGGCGCAUCCGGGCUGCAGUGAGAAGGGGAGAGCAGCCAGAGAAGCCCACCGCAGCAUGUAGCCAGGCCAAGGGUGAGUGGGCUCAGCUGGGGCAAGAGGAGGCCUGGAGGUCCUUGGGCUCUGGGGCAUGGAAGGAGGAGGGUAUGCAGAAGAAUGGACAGGUGGAGCCGAUGUUCAAACCCCUGGUAACGGAGCCGGAACCAGGCCUGAAGGUGGCAGAGUGGGCCUCUGGUGAAUGACGUUAGAGAGGGCUGGAUAGAAAACAGGAGAGAGUGUGGAGGAAGGGAUGAGAGGAACAACUGUGUAAAAGAUGCACUGACUCAGUUGCAUUAUUAUCUGUAUCCUGUAAGACUAUAGCAGCAACCUCAUAUGUUGUCCUAUCACAUGCUAUGGAGAGACGCCCACUGCAUUAACUAAUCCUUGCUAAUGCCAUGUCAGUAUGAGGAGUUACAUGUACUGCAUGUUUUCUCUGGCUCAGUAUGAAAUUGUAUGACACUGACCUUGCACAUACAGAUGCAUUCACCUGCUAAUACAACGGAUCACAUUUACUGUGGAAAAAUUCACACAUUAGGUGCACACACACACACACACACACACACACACACACACACACACACACACACACACACACACACACACACACACACACACACACACGCACACACACACUCUCCCCCUCCCACUCCACUCCUGUGGCCAGGUCUCUGUCCUUUGGGGUAGUCGAAGGUCAGAGUGAAAGAGUAACAAGCAGUAGCAGGCAACGAAGAGAAUGAUUGCCUGGACAUCAAUUCCCCACCUGAGGAAAUGCCCAGGCAGGAAGACAAAAACAAACCUUCUGCUGUUAAUAAAGAUACUGCCUCUAUUUCUUCACUGUAUUCUGGGAGAUGUGUAUUUUCAGUAAACAAAGUACUCUUGCCCCCAGUGUGUUUCUGGGUUUCAUCAAUCAUUCUUUAAACAUUGAGCAGCAAAGAGCACACACAGCACAUGGCUUCUAUAAUACAUAUCAGGAUUAUUGUUUAAUAAUGUGUUGAAGUAAAAAAAAAUAAUCACUCUCACACACUCACAUAGUAUACACACUCACACUCACUCUAUCUCCCUCCCUCCCUCUGUCUCUCUCAUUCUCCCUCUCGGACACAGCAUUUUUUAUCAGUUGCAUGCUUAGAGGAAAUACAACAUAUGAAUAACAUUAUCUGGUGUGGGUUGACAACACAUUAUUACGUUGUCUUCAGAAAGUAUUCAUACCUCUUGACUUAUUCCACCUUAUGUUGUGUUACAGCCUGAAUUAAACAUGUAUUACGGACUAAACAUAUUAUGGACUAAACAUAUUUUUGUUUCUUU
rnacentral:lncRNA from 1 species